rnacentral:lncRNA from 1 species
CGGGAGAAGCUUGCCCACGCGGUCGCAACACGCUAUGCGCGUGCAUGCACGCACGACCAAACACAGGACGUACGCACUGUGCGCACGUCCCAUCUAUACAAGGGUGAGGCUAGUCUGCGCAUGAGUCACGUCGUUCAUAGAUAGGGCAAUCUGCAUGCAUCACAUCGCACGCAGACAGGGGCCAAACGUCACAUGCCAUCUGCGCAAUAGACCUGCGCAAAUAAGCCUACACGCGGUAGGGUAUACUGGUGCCUAUGGGAUAGGCCUAUAAUGCGCAGCCAGCCUAGUGAGGCACACUGCCAGCUCGGGUAGUGUGCUGCCCACUCGUGUGCCCUGCACUGCUUUGGGCAGUGUGCCAUCGCCUUGGGUGGAGAGCUACUACCGAUUGAGGAUUCUUCCUCCAGUUUUUGUGCCCCUAUCGCGUCGCAUUAAAUUGCUCAUCUUUCACUCAACCUUCUUUCUCCUCACCAGAUUUCACCACUUGGCGCAACUCCAACGGUCCCCAUUUUCUAUAAAUAGGGAACCCUUUCUUCCAUUUUUCCUCAUCACUUCCAUUUUAUUCUUCCAUCUUCUAAGGGCUUAGAGAGAGAGGGAGUAAUCUAGAGAGAGAAUGAGAGGAGAAGAAGAAGAAGAAAGGUGUAGGAAAACUUUGAGGUUUUGGUAAUAAAUUUAGUAUUUCCUUAAACAUCUUAAAGAGCAUUUCUAGAAAAUCGUAUUAUAAAGUUUGUCUUUCAUGUUUUGUUUUUUGCAUGUUUUAUGUUUAAUAAGUAAUUUGUUCUUGAUUUCAAGCAUACUAAGUGAUUUUAUAGGGAUUUAAUGAUUUACAUGUAAAUUAAAUAGCUUGAAUCCGGUGAUAAUUUUCUAAAAUAUUUGUAAAAAAAAGAGAAAAGAGAAGGAGAAUGAGUCUGAAUGGUUCAAAAAAAAUAUAUGUAUCUAUAUUGACAUGCAUAAUGCAUCAAGUGUCCCAUUAGGCUAUUUAUCUGUGAGAAGUAUCUAUUUCCCCCUCCUCCAUCUGGUCUGAAAAGAUGUGAGAGGAGCGCUCCCUGUGGAUGAUGGCUUACCCUUUAACGAGAGCGGUGAUGUGAAUAUCUGUUAGAGGUCACCUUUGGCUAAGUACUAUUGUGGCUAAAAAAUAUCUCAUAAGACCACUGUGGUUGGUAUGACCAUCGUCAUAGACCGUACCAUGGUCUGGCAAGCUAGAAAUGUGCCUAAGUAAAUUAACAUUAAAUAUCUUAUCUGGCCAUUCCACAUGGGUAGUCAGACAUCCGUAUCUACCCUCACAGAUGGAAGUUGGAACGAUUUUUCAAAGCAUGA